GGCGGCCAGGGAGUGUGGGACGGGUGAGGCUGAGUGGAGGCGGUAGAUAGUGUUGGUGUGUGUAUGAGAGAGAGAGAGAGAGAGAGAGAGAGAGAGAGAGAGAGAGAGAGAGAGAGAGAGAGAGAGAGAGAGAGAGAGAGAGAGAGAGAGAGAGAGAGAGAGAAAA